AAUACGUGAGAAAUAAACAAACAUCCAAAAUAAAAGAAUGAAGAUGGUUUCUUAAGCUUGAUUUUCUUAUGGUGCAAUGGUCAGAAAUUAAUAUUUUUGAAUCCCAUCAAUAAAAUAAUUUUCUUAUAACUAUAAAGUAUUAUUAUACAUAUGUAUUAUAUUUAAAUAUAAAAAAUAAUGAAGAAAUGAAGAAAUACAUAAAAACAAAAAAAAAUAAAGAAAAUUGAAAACAAAAAUUUAAACCAAAUAUUUAAUCAAACUCUUACAGUGACAUCUUAAUUGAGUUUUCACCC
rnacentral:lncRNA from 1 species